GAUGAACGCUGGCGGCGUGCCUAAUACAUGCCAGUCGAGCGAACAGAUGAGGAGCUUGCUCCUCUGACGUUAGCGGCGGACGGGUGAGUAACACGUGGAUAACCUACCUAUAAGACUGGGAUAACUUCGGGAAACCGGAGCUAAUACCGGAUAAUAUAUUGAACCGCAUGGUUCAAUAGUGAAAGACGGUUUUGCUGUCACUUAUAGAUGGAUCCGCGCCGCAUUAGCUAGUUGGUAAGGUAACGGCUUACCAAGGCAACGAUGCGUAGCCGACCUGAGAGGGUGAUCGGCCACACUGGAACUGAGACACGGUCCAGACUCCUACGGGAGGCAGCAGUAGGGAAUCUUCCGCAAUGGGCGAAGGCCUGACGGAGCAACGCCGCGUGAGUGAUGAAGGUCUUCGGAUCGUAAAACUCUGUUAUUAGGGAAGAACAAAUGUGUAAGUAACUAUGCACGUCUUGACGGUACCUAAUCAGAAAGCCACGGCUAACUACGUG
rnacentral:rRNA from 1 species